rnacentral:tRNA from 1 species
GGAGAGGUGGCAGAGUGGUCGAAUGCGCUGGACUCGAAAUCCAGUAUAGCGGUCUCCGUUAUCGAGGGUUCGAAUCCCUCCCUCUCCGCCA